rnacentral:rRNA from 1 species
UACGUAGGGUGCGAGCGUUGUCCGGAAUUAUUGGGCGUAAAGAGCUCGUAGGCGGUGUGUCACGUCGGCCGUGAAAACCUGCAGCUUAACUGUGGCGUGCGGUCGAUACGGGCAUCACUGGAGUUCGGCAGGGGAGACUGGAAUUCCUGGUGUAGCGGUGGAAUGCGUAGAGAUCCGGAAGAACACCGGUGGCGAAGGCGGUCUGCUGGGCAGUAGCUGGACACUGAGGCGCGACAGCGUGGGGAGCAACAGG